rnacentral:rRNA from 1 species
GGGGAAUAUUGGACAAUGGGUGAGAGCCUGAUCCAGCCAUCCCGCGUGAAGGACGACGGCCCUAUGGGUUGUAAACUUCUUUUGUAUAGGGAUAAACCUAGAUACGUGUAUCUAGCUGAAGGUACUAUACGAAUAAGCACCGGCUAACUCCGUGCCAGCAGCCGCGGUAAUACGGAGGGUGCAAGCGUUAUCCGGAUUUAUUGGGUUUAAAGGGUCCGUAGGCUGAUUUGUAAGUCAGUGGUGAAAUCUCACAGCUUAACUGUGAAACUGCCAUUGAUACCGCAAGUCUUGAGUGUUGUUGAAGUAGCUGGAAUAAGUAGUGUAGCGGUGAAAUGCAUAGAUAUUACUUAGAACACCAAUUGCGAAGGCAGGUUACUAAGCAACAACUGACGCUGAUGGACGAAAGCGUGGGGAGCGAAC